CCUACGGGAGGCAGCAGUGGGGAAUUUUCCGCAAUGGGCGAAAGCCUGACGGAGCAAUACCGCGUGAGGGAGGAAGGCUCUUGGGUUGUAAACCUCUUUUUUCAGGGAAGAUAAUGACGGUACCUGAGGAAUAAGCAUCGGCUAACUCCGUGCCAGCAGCCGCGGUAAUACGGAGGAUGCAAGCGUUAUCCGGAAUGAUUGGGCGUAAAGCGUCCGCAGGUGGUUUUAAAAGUCUGUUGUUAAAGCGUGAGGCUUAACCUCAUAAGGGCAAUGGAAACUGUAAGACUAGAGUACGUUCGGGGCAAGGGGAAUUCCCAGUGUAGCGGUGAAAUGCGUAGAGAUUGGGAAGAACACCGGUGGCGAAAGCGCCUUGCUAGGCCGUAACUGACACUGAGGGACGAAAGCUAGGGGAGCGAAUGGGAUUAGGAUACCCCAGUAGUCCUAGCCGUAAACGAUGGAUACUAGGCGUUGUCUAGUAUCGACCCGGACAGUGCCGUAGCUAACGCGUUAAGUAUCCGCCUGGGGAGUACGCACGCAAGUGUGAAACUCAAAGGAAUUGACGG
rnacentral:rRNA from 1 species